rnacentral:rRNA from 1 species
UACGAAGGGUGCAAGCGUUAAUCGGAAUUACUGGGCGUAAAGCGCGCGUAGGUGGUUCAGUAAGUUGGAAGUGAAAUCCCCGGGCUCAACCUGGGAACUGCUUUCAAAACUGCUGAGCUAGAGUACGGUAGAGGGUGGUGGAAUUUCCUGUGUAGCGGUGAAAUGCGUAGAUAUAGGAAGGAACACCAGUGGCGAAGGCGACCACCUGGACUGAUACUGACACUGAGGUGCGAAAGUGUGGGGAGCAAACAGG